rnacentral:rRNA from 1 species
UACGAAGGGGGCUAGCGUUGCUCGGAAUUACUGGGCGUAAAGAGUGCGUAGGCGGUUUUCUAAGUUUGGUGUGAAAUCUCCCGGCUUAACUGGGAGGGUGCGCCGAAAACUGGAAGGCUUGAGUAUGGGAGAGGUAAGCGGAAUUCCUGGUGUAGCGGUGAAAUGCGUAGAUAUCAGGAGGAACACCUGCGGUGUAGACGGCUUACUGGACCAUAACUGACGCUGAGGCACGAAAGCGUGGGGAGCAAACAGG